rnacentral:lncRNA from 1 species
AACUUCCAACUUUCUUUUUCAAUUCCAUUGUUUCUCGAUAGGGAUUUUUUAUUUUGUCCCUUCUAUUAAAAUUGGGUAAGUUAGUCCUUAUGCAUUAAAUCGAAGAACAGACUAGUCUUUCUGUUAAAAUUUGUAUUUAUUUUUAUUGUUAAAAAUUGGUUAAUGUACAUUAGAGUGAGUACCACAUAGCGUCACUUGUAACUGUUUUAUUAUUUCAUUAAUUUUAAUAAUAGAAAUAAAUGAUUAUUUUAAUAUUCAUGAUACUUAUAUUCAAUGAUGAGUUUACAACCUUUUCAUAAUUAUUUAGACCAAACGUGUUGAUUGUGCAAAAAGUAAAUCGAAAUCAUUGAACUUCUUAUAUAUAUAUAUUAUUGAAUUGAUACCAUUAAUAGCCUUUUUUGGAAUAAAAUUCAACUCUACAGUAAUACAAUUAUGCGACAACUAGUUGAAAUCAAUCAAAAUCCAGAGAAAUUGAGGUGAGGAGGACCACUUACCCCUACACUAGGCUUUAUUGUUUUAGGUUUUAACUUUCUUAUUGAAGGUAUUGAGUCCCUACACCUCCUUUAACCACAUUUGAUUGGAUAUACGCUUAGAGGCGGAGUUAGAAAAUUUGUUGAGGGGGUCGGAAUAAAGUUGUAUAUUUUUAUAAUAGUAAAAGUAAAAUUUUACUAUUUUAAUAGUUUAUAUACUAAUUUUUUUCUCAUUCUUGAGGGGCAAAGUGUAAUUUUAUCAUAUAUUAAUUUAAAUUUUUUUAAAUUAUAAAAGGAUUAAAGGUGAUUUCAACCCUAUAUACGCUGAAGCAUGAACGAAGUUAAAAAAUUAAUUUAAAGAAAGUUAGAUAUGAAUUAUGAAUUAUUAGAAGAAUUAAAGUACAAUUUUAUCAUUAUAUUAAAAUAUAAUUUUUCCUAUUAAUUAUAUUUUUCCCGAUAAUUAUUUAAGUUUUAAAAUUUUAUAUUUUGGUCAUUUAUUUAUUUUUAGUUAUUUUCAUUAAAUCGAAUUUAGCAUAUAAGAAAGGGAGAUGUUAAAUGAUUGAGGGUAUAAUUUUAGCAAAAAAAGUCUUUGUAUGUAAGAAAAUGUUUGAGCAAUCUUUUUCAGGGCGUGUGCAUACCUGACCCUGCAAUUGCCAUGCAUGCAUUAAAUGAGCUCUGAGGCAGCUAGCUUUUUAAUUAGAUUUUCAAUUUUUUUAUUCUUAGAAGCUUUAAUUUAUAGAUAUUAUUUUUACAUAUAUAUGUGUCAAUUUUAAUUAAAUUUAUUGUUUAUAAAAAUGUAAUAAUUAAUUAUUAAUUUCAUAUGGUUAAUUAAAAGAAAAUUAUUAGUUUUUUUUAAUAUAUAUACGAGUAUAUUUAUAGUGAGUGUGAUAGUAACGAAAGGAAAUUGUUAUUUUCUGAUAUUUUUAAUUAGUUUAUUUAAUAAUUAUUUUAUAUUUCAUUUUGAAAAUAAAAUUUAUCAUAGCAACUUUGUUUUAUAAUGAAGGACGAUAUCUAUCAAUUUAUGAUAGGGUAGUCGUUUAUACUUGAAUCAGUGAAUGUUGGUUUAAAUAUUCAUUUAACCUUCGAAUUUGUCAUGUUCUCUUAAGUUGGUACUUAUAGUUUUUUGUUUCUAUUAAGGGUUUUGGUAUUUAAUAUUGCAACAAAAAUAUCAAAACCCUUGAGGGAAUGAAAAUUUAGAUACCAACUUGGGACAAAAAACCAUAAGUAUCAAUUUGGGAGAAAAUGAUAAAUUCAAAAGCUAAAUGAGUAUUUAAGCCAAAAACAUUAUAAAAAGAAAUAUAUAUACAUAUAAAUCAUUUUUCCAAUAUUAAAUUAAAAAAGAAAAAUUUCUGUCCAAGUCAAAAACAUGCAUUAAGAAUUGGAUUGGUGAUUAAAUUCAUCAUAUAAUCGAUUUUCAGUUUGAUUAAUUUGAUUAUUAGUUUAAUUUUAAUUAAAUAAAUUAUUAAUAAUUUUAAAAUUUUAAAAAUAAUUAUAAAAUUAUAAAAUCAAUUCAAUCAUUAAUUUAAUCAUUUUUUUAUCCUAUUCAAUUGGUUCUAAGCAAUUUAUUUAAAAUUUAUUUCUUUUAUCUAAAACCACACAAACGAUCAAUUAUUUGUGUUUGUUGAAAUAUUAAAUUAUACCUGAUUUGAUUUUCCCUUCAAAAAAUUCAAUGAAUUAAAAGUACUUUUUUAUGUGUGAUCCAGCUAAAAUAUACAAAAUAGAACUUUCUAUAUAUUAAAUUUGAUUUAUAUGAAGAAAAAAAUGUCAUGUAGGUCUGAUUUGAAAUUUCACAAUAAUGUUGGGUCUCAAAUCCCAUAUAAUAUUCUUAUCAUUAUCCCAUUAAAAUAAUUGAAAAUUUUGCAGCAAUUAGAUUAAAAUUUAAUUAAUCUUCUCUAUAAUUUCUCAUACAAAUUAAGUUUAUACAAGCAUUUGGGUUGAGGUAAGUUUUUAAAACAGUGAUAUUGCUCGUGUCCAAAUUAAGUUAUCUUAUAUAUUUGGAUAUGCAAAUCCAAAAAGACACGAGCUGAUUUUAUGAAGAUUUAUCUCAAUCAUUUGUAUUCUUAUAUUAAGGGUAAUUGAUUUGAUAAAAUUUAGACAGAUUAAGAUCGAUUAAAUGGUACUUUAUAAAGAUGGAUUCAUAUUCUAAAUAUGGAAUUCUUGUUGGAAAAGAUUGUUGAGGCAAUAUGUGAGCAAUGUCUCAUGUAGUGCCACAGUCGGUGUUCAUUGCUUUUGGAUCUACACAAGUUACAUAACUUGGCUUAUUAAUGUCGACAAUUCUUUAAACCAAAACAGUUGAGUCAUGACUUAGUGAAUAUUAUGAACAUGUGUUGACCCAUAUUUGAAGAUCAAUUUUGUGGAGCUACAAAUCAUUGAAGUUUGGACUGAUCUAGAUCAAAUAAAUUGGAUCCCUUGAUUUAUGAAGAUUGGCUUGCAGUUAUGUCUUGUAGAUUUUUGUUUUAUUUUGAACUUUACGAAUAUAUUUGUAAAGUCUUUUUAUGAAAUUAUUUUAAUGGGAUCUUAUUUGUAAUUAAUAUUUAUCUUCACAAGUCUUAAACUCAACACAUAAAACCAACCCAUGGCAAUAGCUCAUGAUGAUACUUGAAAGUUUUCCUAAUUUUAACUUCUCUCUCAUGCUCUUUCUUUCUUUCUUUAUUUUUUAAAUUUUUUUAUCAUAGUUAGUUUUUAAAGCCAUUAGAACUUUUUAUUCAUUUGUAAGGUCAAAAUUUGUUAUUAUUAGUCCCUAUAUUAUGUAUAAUUUAUGAAUUUAGUUCUUAUGCUCUAAUUUGGUUAAUUCUAAUUUUUGUACUUUUUAAAUUUUGAAAUUUUAAUCUCAAUCCAAACUAUAGUUAAAUAUGUUAGAUCAAAUUAUGCUAUUAUUCUUGUACUAUGCGUAAAUUAUGGAUUCAGACCAUGUUCUCCAAUUUUAUCAUUUUUAAUCCUUAACUUUUCAAUUAUGAUAUUUUAGUUACGAUUCAAACCAUAACUAUUUUAUCAAUUAACUAAAGUGAUUGACUUUUUUUUUGCUAGGAUUAUGUGGAAAAAAAACAUGUUUGCCAUGUAAGAUUUUAGAAAUAACAAAUUUUGUAAUACCCCAAACCCGGCCCAAACGUUAUUGCUAGAUCUGACGUGUCACAUGGACUUACGACUUAGUAUGCAUUCGUUGGUUUAAGUGAUUGGGGUGGUCUUUGUAAAAACAGCGGUUGAAUGAAAAGCUGGUUUAUCAAUCUUUAGGCUAUCCAUUUGUUGUGCUUGUUGAGUCUUGGAAAACGUUCAUUAAUUUUGAAAACCCGCGCAACCUAACACUAGCAGUUUCGACAUAGUAUAAAUAUAAUCAGAAAAUAAAACCAUAGCGGAAAAAGAAAUUUAAAUAGCGGCCUUAUUACAACUUAAAACCCAAAAUUAAAUUAGAAUAUAAAAUAAUAAAAAUAAACUAACUUGGAAAAACCAACUUUGCAGAUGAUGUGGUCACUCCGAAUCCCUCACAGCUCCAAGCCCACUAUGGUUGGGGAUUUCCUGCAGAGAUGAAAAUAAAGGGUGAGUUCGGUAAACUCAGUGUGUAACAUAACCCAACCAUAGCCCAAAACAGAUCAAACCUUAGAGUCACACUUAUCUAGGCAUUGGCCCAGUACAGAAAUCAGAAUGAAACCCAUAGGCCCAUAGCAGAUACAGAACAAAUAUAUCAUGAAUGCAGAAAUCCUAACCCAGAGCCAUCCAUAACACCCCCGUAUCAGCCUUACACCAUGUGGGAAGACUACUCGACCCACCCAACCGCUACACACCACAGAAAUUGCAACGAAGCUGCCAGAUAUUGUGACGAAGUCACCAGAUACAGAUAUUGUGGCUAGGCCACCAGAAUAGAUAUAUAUAUGUGGCAAAGCCACCAGAUUGCAGCGAGGCUGCCAGAUAUUGUGACGAAGUCACCAGAACAGAUAUAUGUGGCGAGGCCACCAAAUUGCAGCGAGGCUGCCAAAUAUUGUGACGAAAUCACCAGAACAGAUAUAUGUGGCGAGGCCACCAGAUUGCAGCGAGGCUGCCAGAACGCUUCCUCCAUCAAUAUAAACCCAUGUCCCAUGCAACAGAAAUAAUAUGUCAUGGCAUACGCAUACAGAAACAGAACAUCAUGCUUUUCAGAAAAAAUAACCCUAGGGGUAAAAUCGUAAUUUUGCAUGCAUAAGGGUAUUUCAGUAAUUAUUACCUAUUGCUAAGGUUUCAUGCUCAUUCUAAAGUUUACCAAGUAAUCAGAAGUACUUACCUCGUCUUUUUACCAAAGUGAACCCGUUAGCUCAUUGGCCCGUUUUCGGCCCAUUAAGCCCAAAAAUACCGUUAUGCACGAAAAUGCACACUCUGCACUCUAAUCAUCCAAAUGCACCAUAUUCAUUAACAACUGUCUCACGAGCGCUCGCACGCUCGUGAGUUCACAAAAUACCAACGUUUCGAUAUUUCGGCUUUUACCGAUUCAGUCUAAGGGAGGGUGUCGUUUACACACCUGGUUAAUGACGAUAUCUCCCACACGAUAAUCCUACAAUCAAUCACUAACACAUUAGACUUACGAAUUAAUGAUAACUAACAUAAAUCCACGUCAACUAACCCAAUCAUCACACAAGUUAGUCAUUUACACACGAGGGGCAAAAUAGUCAUUUAAUACCCUAGGGGCAAAAUGGUAAUUUUACCCCACAAGGGUAUCUCGGUAAUUCUACCCUACAGGGGUAUUUCGAUAUUUCUACCCUACAAAGGUAUUUCGGUAAUUCUACCCUACAGGGGUAUUUCGGUAAUUCUAUCCUACAGGGGUAUUUCGGUAAUUCUACCCUACAGGGGUAUUUCGGUAAUUAUAAAACUUAUCCACUUGGGCCUACAGACCUAUUGAGACCAUAUGGCCCAUUUCAGCCCAUCGCGGCCCGAAAUAGCCGUUCUACUGCUAGAGUAAUGAGAAAUACACACCUGUUAGGAGACUGCAGUUAAUCCGCGCUCCAAACACUCUUAGCUGACGCCCAACCCAAACGAACACGUCACAAAGCGAAAGGGAUCAGCCAAGAAGGGUAUGCCUACUCCCCUCAUGGUUUGCUCUAUUUAAAGCCAGCUCUCCAUCUACUCUUCUGUUAGCUUCUCGAUGUGGGAUCCCUUCAUCAUUAGAGUUUAAAACUAACACCAACUCUUGCCGUCCCAACAUAGCAAAAUAAUCAACCUUUGCGUGCCAAGGGAUUCAAACCAAAGUCCUCUCACAUGCCAACUCACGCCACCACCACUACGCCAUCAACUCAUUUGUGUCAUAAAUCCAACACAUUAAACUUUAAAGCGCACCUACUUGCUACCAGAUUUAUUGAAAAGAAAAACCAAAAUAUAUUGCAAGAGCCAAGACUUGAACCUUGGACCCCUUGCUUCCUCUAUGGCGUCACUUCCUUGUCUACUAAGUGGCGCCACCUUGCCACUACACCACACUCCUUUUUGUGUCAUCUUUUACCUCUUUACUCUUAAAAGCCCAAACGCCAAUUGCAUCACAUGUUCAUAAAAUUAAAAUUCCGAAGACUACCACGAAUUUAACUUAAGUUUGGGCCUUCCAAAGGCCCACUAACUUGCUAAUAUAUAUAUUAACCAACCAGAACACACACAAAUUUUAAAAAUCACAGAAACACAGAAAACCCAAAAAUUGAGGCGCUACAACUCUACCCUCCUUAAAGAAAUUUUGUCCUCAAAAUUUUACCUGAAUCAAACAGAUGAGGAUAUUGUUGACGCAUCGCCACUUCUGGCUCCCAAGUAGCUUCCUCUCUGCCAUGAUUACGCCACAGCACAUUUACUAUCGGAACUGAUUUCUUCCUCAAAAUCUUAACAUCUCGAUCCAAAAUCUGCACAGGCUCUUCCUCAAAAGUCAAGUCUGUUAGCACCUCGAUCUCUGCAACCGGCACAACAUGAGUAGGGUCAGAACAAUACCGCCUUAAUAUGGAGAUGUGAAAGACAUCAUGAAUCCUAUCCAACUCUGGAGGUAGCUCCAACUGAUAAGCCACUGGACCCAUUCGCUUAAGAAUCCGAUAAGGCUCAAUGAAUCGUGAACUUAACUUGUCUUUCCUCCCAAACCUUAAUAUUUUCUUCCAAUGUGAAACCUUCAAGAAGACCAUAUCACCCACAGAGUACUCAAUUUUCUUACGCUUCAAAUCUGCAUAUGACUUCUGUCUAUCAGACGCUUCCUUCAACCGGUCUCUAAUCAACUUGACCUUAUCCUUAGUAUCUGCCACUAACUGAGGUCCAAGAACCUGUCGUUCACCCAACUCGGUCUAACAACUAGGUGUACGACAUCUUCGCCCAUACAGUGCCUCAUCAGGAGCCAUUCGAAUACUUGCCUGAUAACUGUUGUUGUAUGCAAACUCUGCCAAUGGUAAGUAAUCCUCCCAACUGCUUCCAAAGUCGAUAACGCAUCCCCUCAACAUGUCUUCCAAAAUCUGAAUAACCCUUUCCGACUGACCAUCAGUCUGAGGAUGAAAGGCUGUACUAAAGUUCAACCGCGUACCCAACACCUCAUGCAACUUUUGCCAAAACCGAGAUGUAAAUCUAAGAUCUCGAUCAGAAAUAAUCGACAUUGGCACUCCAUGAAGUUACACUAUUUCCGCCACAUACAAUUUAGCUAACUUCUGAAGUGAAUAAUCAAUGCGGACAAGUAUGAAAUGAGCAGAUUUGGUCAACCUAUCCACAAUUACCCAAAUCGAGUCCUUCUUCGACGGUGUCAAGGGUAACCCACUCACAAAAUCCAUGGUUACCCUCUCCCACUUCCGAAGUGGUACUUUCACUAGCUGCAAAAGUCCAGAAGGUAAUUGAUGUUCAGCUUUCACUUGCUGACAAGUUAGACAUUUUCCCACAACUUCUGUUACCUCUCGCUUCAAUCCAGGCCACCAAUACAACUCCUUUAAGUCGCUAUACAUUUUACUCCCUCUAGGAUGCAUAGCACACAGACCUUCAUAAGCUUCUUUCAGAAUUGCUUGCCUCAAGUCAGAGUCCUUCGGAAUACAAACUCUACCUCGGUAACACAGAACUCCCUCACUGUUCAGUCCUAACUCAGAAGUAUCCCCAUUUUUAACCUACCGGAAUCGAGAAACCAGGGACUCAUCCCUCGACUGUUUUUCCUUAAUCUCAUCCACCCAGGUCGGCCUAACUUGUAGUUCUGCUAACAGACUACCGUCGUCAUACAGACUCAAACGAGUAAACAUGGCUCUCAGAUCAGAUACAGUUCUACGACUUAAGGCAUCAGCUACCACAUUAGCUUUGCCUGGGUGAUACUCAAUCGCGCGGUCAUAAUCCUUAAGCAAUUCUAUCCAUCUCCGUUGCCUAAGGUUCAGCUCUUUCUGAAUCAGCAAGUACUUAAGACUCUUAUGAUCAGUGUAUAUAAUACACCUUUCUCCGUACAGGUAAUGUCUCCAAAUCUUAAGCUCAAAGAUUACCGCUGCCAACUCCAGAUCAUGAGUAGGAUAGUUAACUUCAUAUGGUUUAAGCUGUCGCGAUGCAAAAGCAACCACUUUACCCUCUUGCAUCAGCACACAGCCCAACCCUACAUGUGAUGCAUCACUGCAUAGGGUAAAAUCUUUUCCAGACUCUGGCUGAAUCAGAACAGGUGCCUCGAUCAGAACUUUCUUCAGCUUCUCAAAAGAUUCCUGUUGUUUCUCAGUCCAAACAAACGAUACUCUCUUCCUUAUAAGCUUUGUCAAAGGCGCUGUCAUAACAAAAAAUCUUUCUACAAACCUUCUAUAGUACCUAGCUAAACCCAGAAAACUUUGAAUUUCCGACACUAACCUCGGUGGCUUCCAUUCCAGAAUCACUUUAAUCUUUCGAGGGUCCACCUUGAUCCCUUCAGCAAAGACAACAUGCCCCAAGAAAGUUACCUCUCUCAACCAGAACUCAUACUUAUUGAAUUGCGCAUAAAGCUCCUUCUCCUUCAGCACUUGCAGCACAAUACGAAGGUGCUCAUCAUGCUUCUCAUCAGUUUCAGAAUAAACCAGAAUAUCGUCAAUAAAGACGACCACGAAUCGAUCCAAAUAUGGCUAGAACACUCGAUUCAUCAGAUCCAUAAAUGCCGCAGGUGCGUUCGUCAACCCAAAUGGCAUAACCAAGAACUCAUAGUGACCAUAUCGAGUUCUGAAUGCCGUCUUGUGAAUAUCCACCUCCUUAACCCUCAACUGAUGAUACCCAGAUCGAAGGCCAAUCUUAGAAAAUACUGAAGCUCCUCUAAGUUGGUCGAAUAAAUCAUCGAUUCUCGGUAGUGGGUACUUGUUCUUAAUCGUCAGUUUGUUUAACUACCGAUAAUCGAUGCACAUCCGCAUUGACCCAUCUUUCUUCUUUACGAACAACACUGGUGCUCCCCAUGGAGACACACUUGGUCUAAUGAAGCCUCUAUCCAAUAACUCUUGAAUUUGGGCUUUCAGCUCCACCAACUCCUUCGAUGUCAUCCUAUAAGGUACAAUGGACACCGGUACCGUUUCAGGAAACAAGUCGAUUCCAAACUCAACCUCUCGGUUCGGGGGCAAACCUAGAAGCUCCUCUAGAAAAACAUCUUGAAAAUCCUUGACAGUUCUAAUUUUAUCCACUGUCAGAUCCUCGGUUUUCGAUUGGCUUACAAAUGCCAAAUAAGCCUCACAUCCCUUUCGAAUCCACUUCUCGGCUCUCAAUGCCGACACCACAUUAGACAGAUAAUCCCUACGCUCGCCUAUCACCAAAACCUCUCCAUCCUUUGUGGUCUUUAACAUUAUUCGCUUAGCAACACAAUCCAAAGUAGCCCUAUGCUUAACAAGCCAAUCCAUUCCCAAAAUGAGAUCGAAUUCUCCGAAAGGUAGCUCCAUCAGAUCUCCAGAGAAAACUUUUCCUUGAGUUUCUAUAGGCACAUCUCUAUACAGUUUAUCUACCCUAAACAAGUGACCCAAAGGACUUAGUACAGAUACCCCACUCACUCACGGUCUCCUAAGAGCACACACCCAGCGACCCAGAUAUAGCACAUGCAAUAUAUGAAUGGGUAGAUCCAAUAUCUAUCAAUGCAGUGUAUGGCAUACUAGAAAUCAGAAACGUACCAGUUAUAACGUCAGGUGCAUUAUCCUCCUUUCGGUGACGAGCUGCAUACACCAAUGCCGACUGAUGAGCCUCAGCAAAUCCAGCACCCCUACUAGGCGCUCCUCUUCCUCGACCGUUUCCAUUACCACCUCUUCCUUGCCCACGUCCUCUCAGAAACUAUGGUCCACCCCUCACUGGUUUAGCGACCCUCUGCUCUAAAACUUGAACCUGAUCUGGUUCCUAGGGAUAAUCCUUAACCCUAUGCUCCAUAGAUCCGCAUCAGAAACAAGCACCAGAACGUUUCCGACACUCACCCAUAUGCAUCUUCUCACAAUUCUUACAACCCUGCGGUCUAACAGCAUUCAUCGGUACUGCUCGAACUGGCUCUAUUACCCUUGCUCUCUUAACAUUCCUGUUCAUACCACCUGAAAGUCCUGAAUCUCUCCUAAAAUGGUUCUGAUCUUUCUCACGAUUCUGUCUUUCUGUAUGCUUCACUUCCUUAGCUAUCUUAGCUUUCUCCACUAAAGCAGCAAAGUUACGCUCCCUCUGCGGAGCAAUCAGCACCCUAAGUUCAUUUCUCAGCCCAUCCUCGAAGCGUACGUUACGCUCAUACUCUGUAGCGACAAUCUCAGAAGCAUACCGGCUCAGCCUUAGAAACUCAGACUCAUACUUAACCACUGACUUACUCCCUUGGACCAGGUUCAGAAAUUUUUUCCGGCAAGCGUCCACGUAACUAGCCCCAACAUACUUUCCUUUGAAGGCUGUCUUAAAUAGCUCCCAAGUCACACUGCCAGAAGGAGUUCUAUCUCUCACCGUGAGCCACCACUGAUAAGCCACAUCCCUGAGUAACGAUAUGGCUCUCUUCAGCUUCUGCUCCACAGAGCAGUCCAGAUCAUCCAUAAUUCGCUCUGUGGCUUCUAACCAAUACUCAGCCACAUUCGGAGCUACACCAGAUACGCCCCUAAAUAUCUCUGCUCCAUUGGCCUAGAGCCGCUCAGAAAUAGACCCCCGAAUUUCGUUUUCCGUACUUACCCCAGCAACCCUUUCCAAAACUCAGAGCAUUGCUUAGGACAGAGCAUCGUCCCCGGUACCUCGAUCAUGAGACUCUACCUCUGUUGUCGGUGGUACCGGUGCAUCUGCUGCUGGAACAUGUCCUGAAGACGAAGAUUCAGCCUGAGCAUUACCUCAGUCACGGCCACGGCCACUUCCACGAGCUGCUCGUGUACUCAUUUCGUAUUAUCUGGUUAAGAAUUUUAUGAAUCAGUUUAAUAUUUCAGUGUUUAUUACAGAUGUCUUAUGAAUAAUAGUAAUUCAGAGUUUGAGUUUGUUUCCUUUUGCGGUAACCUAGUUACAGUCUCAGUCUACUUAUCAGAGUUUCUAUAGUUCCACUGUUACCCUAACUAAAGUACCAUGAUAAGGUUUUGUACAAGCAUAUAACAGAUAUUUCAAAAACAAUCAAAAAAGCUCAGAAAACUUACAGACUUGGGCCGGAGAUUCGGUGUGCCACCUUCUAAAAAAAAUCUAAUUUUAGAAAACUGAUUUUAAUAUUUAAAAUCACCUAUUUGUAAAGAGAAAAUAUUGGGAACAUUCUCGAAAACAAUUUAUAAUCAAGUUCUAAAAAAAAAUGAUUUUCGAAAAACUUUAUUCAGUGUUUCUUUACAAACUCCCUUUUUUAGACCCAUUCCACAGUCGAGUUGUUGCAACUUGGCUUUGAUACCACUAAAUGUAACACCCCAAACCUGGCCUAGACGUUAUUUCCAAAUCUGACGUGUCACAUGGACUUACGACUUAGUAUGCAUUCGUUGGUUUAAGUGAUUGGGGUGGUCUUUGUAAAAACAGCGGUUGAAUGAAAAGCCAAUUUAUCAAUCUUUAGGCUAUCUAUUUGUUGUGCUUGUUGAGUCUUGGAAAAUAUUCAUUAAUUUUGAAAACCCGCGCAGCCUAACACUAGCAGUUUCGACAUAGUAUAAAUAUAAUCAGAAAAUAAAACCAUAGCGGAAAAAGAAAUUUAAAUAGCGGCCUUAUUACAACUGAAAACCCUAAAUUAAAUUAGAAUAUAAAAUAAUAAAAAUAAACUAACUUUGAAAAACCAACUUUGCAGAUGAUGUGGCCACUCCGAAUCCCUCACAGCUCCAAGCCCACUAUGGUUGGGGACUUCUUGUAGAGAUGAAAAUAAAGGGUGUAACAUAACCCAACCAUAGCCCAAAACAGAUCAAACUUUAGAGUCAGACUUAUCUGGGCCUUGGCCCAGUACAGAAAUCAGAAUGAAACCCAUAGGCCCAUAGCAGAUACAGAAUAGAAAUCAGAAUGAAACCCAUAGGCCCAUAGCAGAUACAGAACAAAUAUAUCAUGAAUGCAGAAAUCCCAACCCAGAGCCAUCCAUAACACCCCCAUACCAGCCUUACACCAUGUGGGGAGACUACUCGACCCACCCAACCGCUACAUACCAUAGAAAUUGCAGCGAAGCUGCCAGAUAUUGUGACGAAGUCACCAGAUACAGAUAUUGUGGCUAGGCCAUCAGAACAGAUAUAUAUAUGUGGCGAAGCCACCAGAUUGCAGCGAGGCUGCCAGAUAUUGUGACGAAGUCACCAGAACAGAUAUAUGUGGCGAGGCCACCAGAUUGCAGCGAGGCUACCAGAACGCUUCCUCUAUUAAUAUAAACCCAUGUCCCAUGCAACAUAAAUAAUAUGUCAUGGCAUACGCAUACAGAAACAGAAUAUCAUGCUUUUCAGAAAAAAAAAAUAACCCUAAGGGUAAAAUCGUAAUUUUGCAUGCAUAAGGGUAUUUCAGUAAUUAUUACCUAUUGCUAAGGUUUCAUGCUCAUUCUAACGUUUACCAAGUAAUCAGAAGUACUUACCUCGUCUUUUUACCAAAGUGGGCCCGUUGGCCCGUUGGCCCAUUGGCCCGUUUUCGGCCCAUUAAGCCCAAAAAUACCAUUGUGCACGAAAAUGCACACUCUGCACUCUAAUCAUCCAAAUGCACCAUAUUCAUUAACAACUAUCUCACGAGCGCUCGCACGCUCGCGAGUUCACAAAAUACCAACGUUUCGGUAUUUCGGCUUUUACCGAUUCAGUCUAAUGGAGGGUGUCGUUUACACACCUGGUUGAUGACGAUUGAUGACGAUAUCUCCCACACGAUAAUCCUACAAUCGAUCACUAACACAUUAGACUUACGAAUUAACAAUAACUAACAUAAAUCCACGUCAACUAACCCAAUCAUCACACAAGUUAGCCAUUUACACACGAUGGGCAAAAUAGUCAUUUAACACCAUAGGGGCAAAAUGGUAAUUUUACCCCACAAGGGUAUCUCGGUAAUUCUACCCUACAGGGGUAUUUCGAUAUUUCUACCCUAUAAGGGUAUUUCGGUAAUUCUACCCUACAGGGGUAUUUCGAUAAUUAUACAACUUAUCCACUUGGGCCUACGGACCCAUUGGGACCAUAUGGUCCAUUUCAGCCCAUCACAGCCCGAAAUAGCCGUCCUACUACUAGAGUAAUGAGAAAUACACACCUGUUAAGAGGCUGCAGUUAAUCCGCGCUCCAAACACUCUUAGCUGACGCCCAACCCAAACGAACACGUCACAAAGCGAAAGGGAUCAACCAAGAAGGGUAUGCUUACUCUCCUCAUGGUUUGCUCUGUUUAAAGCCAGCAGUCCAUCUCCUCUUAUGUUAUCUCCAUCUACUCUUAUGUUAGCUUCCCGAUGUGGGAUCCCUCCAUCACCAGAGUUUAAAACCAACACCAACUCUUGCCGUCCCAACAUAGCAAAAUAAUCAAUCUUUGCAUGCCAAAGGAUUUAAACCAAAGUCCUCUCACAUGCCAACUCACGCCACCACCACUAGGCCAUCAACUCAUUUGUGUCAUAAAUCCAACACAUUAAACUUUAAAGCACACCUACUUGCUUCCAGAUUUAUUGAAAAGAAAAGCCAAAAUAUAUUGCAAGAGCCAAGACUUGAACCUUGGACCCCUUGCUUCCUCUAUGGCGUCACUUCCUUGUCCCCUAAGUGGCGCCACCUUGCCACUACACCACACUCCUUUUUGUAUCAUCUUUUACCCCUUUACUCUUAAAAGCCCAAACGCCAAUUGCAUCACCUGUUCAUAAAAUUAAAAUUCCGAAGACUACCACGAAUUUAACUUAAGUUUGGGCCUUCCAAAGGCCCACUAACCUGCUAAAAUAUAUAUAUUAACCAACCAGAACACACACAAAUUUUAAAAAUCACAGAAACACAGAAAACCCAAAAAUUGGGGCGUUACAAAUUUAACUUAAUUUAACUACUAUCAUUUAGUAUUCACUAAAAUUUCAGAACAUAAAAAAUACAAGAACCAAAAAUGAUAAAUUUAGAGUACAUGGCAAUAAAUAAAUCGAUAAGGAUAAAUAGUAAAAAUUAAUUUUUUUUAAAGAUUAUUAUUAGUUAAGUAAUUUUAAUUUUUCAUUAUUUUGAAUUUUCCCAAAAUUUUCUUUAUUGUUUUAUCCCCCCUCCACCCCUCCAAAACCCCCCGGGGGAUGUGCAUAGAACUAGUCUCAAUAGAUAUCAUUAAUUUCCAUAAUUGAUUAACAUUUCCAUGAAUUGAUAGACAAGAUAGAAAAGGGGAAACUGAAAGGUUUACAGUAUUGUCGAUCAUUUAUUUAAUAAAACAAAAAAAAAUAGUAAAAUUAUAUAUUUAAAACCUUUAAAGUGAUUUAAAUGAAAACUUUUAAAUAGUUAAGUGAUUAUUUAGUAAUUUUUUAAAAUUAAAUUAUCAAAAUAUAAAUUUAUUAAUUUAUUGAUCUUGAGUAUAGUUUACCCCAAGUAACAACGUCAAUUAAAUUUAAGAGGUUCAUUUCUUAAUAUGUCAAAUUUGGUAUACAUAUUAUAAUUUGAUCCAUAUGUUUAAAAUAGGCUCAAUGUUACGUUUGAGCCAACGUUUAUACUUUCGAAAUGACUUGAUUGAUACGAUACUUAUACUAAUUCAAUUAGAAAGUUUCAAAAUUUAGCGACCAAUUAAAAAUCUGAAUCAUUAUUUCAAAAUAUUAACUAUGAUUAGAUUUGUUCAAUGGUCAAUAUACCUACCCUAACUCAAAUUCCUUCUCAAUAAUUAGGAGGAUUCGAAAAAAACAAUCGCUAUACUAGGAGUGAGUUUAUGUAAAAAAAUUUAAAUUUAUUUAAAAUAUAAGUUUAAUUCGAGCCCCAAUAUUCAAAUAUCAACUCAAGUAUGUUUUCAAGCUUAUGAUAUGUUACUUUUCCUUUUAUUUAUGCAUUAUAUCAUAAGAAAAUUAAAUAUGUUAUAUCAUAAUCUAUAUAUUUAAAAAAAGGUAAGUUAUUUAUAUUUAAAAAUUUAGUAAAAAGAUAUAUAAUAGUAGUGACAGAAAUAUAUAAUUAUCAAAUUUUAAUAAAAAUAAUAUAUUUCUUAAAAAGGUUUAAAAAGUUUAGGUAGAAUUAAACAAGUUUAGAUUGAUUAUUUCGAGCCAGACCGAAUUUAAACAACUAUAUAUAAUAUUAAAAUCAUAUAUUUAUCUAGCUCGAACUUAACCUGAUUUGAUUGUAAACACUUCUAGCUACAAUUAACUAAAAUAUUUUUGAAAUCAAAUUGCGACCUUAUGAUCUGGUGGUGUGUAUGAAAUGAAUAGUGAAUACCAAUCAUCUAAUUGGAUCACAUACCUGAUGUUGACAUCAUACCUUUCAAAUAUAGCAUUGUAUGUAGAUUUGUAAAAUAUCGCAUAUUAUACCUUAAAUUAUAUAAGUGAAAAAUUUUAUGUAACAAAUUUUAAAAAAAUUGUACAAAACCAAAUAUAUCUCUGGUUGAAAUGGUAAAGUUAAAAUAGUAGAAAUUAUUAUAUCUUGGUUCAAAUCUCGUGUUUUUCAUCAUGUGUCUAAUUUUUUUAAAUUUAUCAAAAUAUAAAAAAAUAUAAAUACUCUCAAAAUAAUAUUUAUUCAUUUGUAAAAUAAAUGGGUUUGGACCCCUUGCAAGCCUAAUUCCAUCCUAUAUAACACUGUACAUUUACAUAUAUAUAUUGGAUUAUAGGUGCCUAUGAACCGGUUUAGAUUAAGAUUCGAUUUUAAAAAAUUUCAAGUUUGGCUCAAGCCAAUAAAAAUUCCCAUAUCACCAUUUAAAAAAUUAAUAAAAUAUUAAAAUACAUUAUUUUAUAUUAAUAUUUAUAUAAAAUCUAAAAAAAUAUUUAAUUUAAAUUCAGAUUGGAUCAAACCACAUAAGCUAAGUGGGCCAUCCAUAUUAUUAACAACUCUAUAUUUACUCCAAUUUCUAUUUAUGACACUAAAACUUUUAUGUUUAAUCAUUAUCAAGAAAAAUAAAUAAAUAAUCCAAAUUAAUUAUUAAUAUAAGAUAAUGAAAAAAUAGGAAUUGAAGAGCCAUUGGCUUGCCAGCCUCUAAUUAAAGAUGCUUCUUAUUUAUUGUUGCUUUGUCAAUUCCAGCAUUCUCAAUUUACCGGCUAAAAACAAAAUACAUUAAACCUUUUUGUCUACCUAAGCCCUUUUUAUGUUUUUCAAAUAAUUGAGUUUGGGAUUAAUCUACACCUAUUCAUAGAUCGAGUUUUUCGUUUAAAUUCAAUGUUUUGUCCGAUAUUUGAAAAGGUUAAGCUCGUAAAAAUAAGCCUAAACAAAAAAUAAACUCAUUUAAAAUAAGAUUAAAUUUGAGUUUAAACAUUUGAAGUUAGACUUGGCCCAAACCCUUUUUUAUUUUUAAUAUAUAUUAUGUAAACAUUAAAAAUGUUAGAUGUCUAUAUAUAAAAUUUUUAUAAAUAAAAUAAAUUAUUGAAUAAUAAAUUAAAGAUAAUAUGAACGAGUUUAAAAUGAAUUUAGACCAGAUAUAUAUAAAUAUGAGUAGAUUUAAAUAAAAUUUUAAAUUUAUAUUUUAGACUAAGCGAAUUUGGACAAACAUACAUUAUGUUGAUAUUAUACUUAAAACUUAAUCCGAACUUGAAUCGGCCCACCCAUUUAAUAUAUAUUAUUUGAUGGAUUACAUUAUUAAGAUAGAACCGGCAAAAGCUAUACACUUCGCAAUUAUUUGAUAUACUUUCCAUUAAUAUUAAGAAAGACUGACUUUAAUUUUGAGUUUGACAAUCAAACCAUAUGAUAAGGACUUGAUUGGCUUGGAAAGUGCUAGGCUUAUACUAAAAAUGUUUAGGUAAAAAUAUCUAUUUAGUUCCUCUCAAUUUUAAUAUCGAGCAGAUUGAUCUCUUAAAAAAAUUAAAGUAAUUUAAAUUUUGUUAAUUUUAAAAGUGAGUAAUUGAAGAUAAUUAAUUACAAAAUUUAAUAUUUUUUACUAAUUGUACAUAAUUUUAAUUAAUAUAAUAAUAAAUUAGGCCCUUUACCACCAUGGGCAUUAAUAAUGUUAUAGAAAUUUCAAAAAUAGUCCCAUAUCUUUGUUUAAGUUUACAUUAAGUCAUUGAUGUUUCAAUUGUUAUGAUUUGAUUUUGAUUUUUAUCAAUUGAUAUCAAUUUGAUUACUGGUCCGUUAAUGGCCGUUAAUAGUGUUAAUACAAAUCUGACAUUUCACAAGUUGUACCAUUAAAUGCGGCUUCCAUGUCACGGAAAAGAAGAAGGAGUAACAGCUCAAAAAAAGAGAAGAACUUGCGGAGAGAGAUUAGAGAAAUGAAGAAAAAGAGAAUAAAAAGUCAAGAAAAAGAGAGCAAAUGGAAAUCAAAAGGGGAAGAGAAAACCCAUUUCGGGUUGUUGAAUUCUCGGGGCUCUAGUUAUUUGCUCGCAAAUCCAAUGGUGAAAAGCCUCAUUGGACGGAGGAGAGGCACAUAUCCUGGGAUUAGGCCGAUCUGACGGUUGGAAAAGGUUUAAGCUUCAACUUGGGCUUUUGUCCUUUUGUUUGGUCUAGAAGAAAUCUGAAUCAGUGAACGGAGAGGGGAGGAGUUGUGGUGGCACUAUCGGCCGGAGGACCAUCGAUGGCUGUGAGCAGCGACUAGGGUUUGGUUAGAAGAAGAGAAAAAAGAAGAUGGGAAAGAAUAUAUUGGUCCGAAUAUAAAAGUGAACUACAAAGCGUAACAAUUGAAACAUCGGUGACCAAAAUUAAACUUAAACAAAGAUAUGGGACUAUUUUUGAAAUUUACCUCAGAUAUUGUUACGCAUUUAUUAGCUUAUCCCAGCAAUCACUUAUAUGCCAUUCCAUGCAUGCAUCCACAUUUCCCAAUCCCCAUAAAAUAUUUGCCAUCAUUUUCACCGAUAUUAUUUUAAUAGCAUCGGAUCGGAUCGGAUCGGUCGGUAAAUUUAACUAGACAAAAAAUUAAUCGAUACAUAAUUAAUUUUAUUUAUAAUUUAAUUAAGAUAUUUUUUUUAUGUUUUAUCAAUAUAAAAUAUAGUGUUAAAUCAUUAUUUGGGAUUUAAAUUUGGUAACUUUUUCUACAUUGAAGUAUAAAUUUUUUUGAGUUCAAGUUAGAUUUUAAACUUCACAAUUGUUCUCACAUUGGGGUCUAGACUAGACAGUUGUUCUUACAUUGGGGCUUGAACUUUUUUUUCAAGUUAGUCCAAGAACUUGACAAUUAUUUUCACAUUGAGGCCUUACCUGAACUUUUAGGGUUUUCAAGGACUAAUUUGAAAAAAAAAAUUGACCCUAGUAUUGGAAAAAUUGUUAAAUCAGGAUCUAUAUUUUGAAUAAAAAAAGUUUAGUUCCCAAUGGAAGAACAAUUCUAAGAUGACCUAACUUGAAAAAGUCAAACCCCAAUAUAAAAAAUGUUACCAUGUUUUGAUCCUAAAAAGUGAUUUAACCCCAAAUAUACAUAUAUGCAUGUAGGAAACAACAAGUUGAGUACGUUGAGCUUAAAUCAUCUCUUGUAUUGUUGAAUUAUUUUGAAUCACUCUUUGAGUAAGGUUGUUGGCAUAGGAAGGGGUUUUGAACUCUGUAACUAAUUUUUGGAUAAAAUAUAUUAUAAGUCUUUAAACUCUUCGUAAAUUUGGAAUUUAAUACGCUACUUUUUAGAUGUAAAAAAUUAGGUCCAACUUUUAGCAUUAUUAAGAUUAUUUUUGUUAAAUUCAAGUUUACUACAACGACAUUAUUUUAGGUACAUUACUACCAAAUGAGUUCUUUUUCAUUUCAAAAUGUCACACACUAACAAAUUUAAUAAAACAAAAAUUAACAUAAUUAAUAAUUAGACUUGAAUUUUAAAAUCUAGAAAGCAAAGGAACUAAAUUCUUGAAAUUAUAUAUUUUAACCAUUUUCUUUUUCAAUUUCAAUUAUUUCCUUAUUUGCAACUCAAAACACAACAAAUCCGCAACUCAAUACUAACAUACACGAUAUAAGAGAAUUUGCCUCCUCCUAUACAUAAUUUUAAAAAAUAAAAUAUUGGGUGCAGUGGUAAACCGUAUUCACUCUUAUUAAAAGAACUCAAUUUUGGAUCCUGGAGACAUAUAGUUGAGAGAGGAAAUCAUUACCCUCAAUUUUUAUUUUUUAUAAAUUAAUUAUAAUUUUUGAGGAGAAAUUAAAAAAAUUAUUUGGAUAAGGAAAUUUGCAUAUUUAAUCAUUUAAGGACUACAUAUUUUUAGUAUUACUUUUUUUUAUAUUGACUUUGAGGUCAAAGUUUUAAAAUAAUUGAGGUUUGGCAGCCAACAUUGGUUGAACUUUAAACCCAAGAAUAUUUGUACGUCAAUUAUGCAAAUGGUGAAAGAAAUGAUCCCUUUCUGUCUUAGAAUUUUCAGAUAUCUCAGCCUUUCACUAUCUGUGUUUUAACUUUAAAUUCCCUUCAAUUGAUGUAAAAUAGUAUAAUACUUUUGUUUGAAAUUAUUCCUUGUCACAACAAUUGUCAAGUGGUAGAAAAAGAUGGGGAUGGAAUUUGAUCCAAUUUUCAACAUGCCUGAGUGAUUUUAGGUUUUAUAUUAUUUCGGCUUUGAUUUACUUGUAAGACGAAGUUAUUCGGGUUUGUUAGUGAAUUUUUGAGUUAAGUUAUUUCGAGUUAUUUAUUCAUGUUAUUUUAAGUUUAGGUUAAUAAUUAAGAUUUGAGUCAUUUUGAAUUUAAGAUUUUUUUAUUCGAGUUGGGAAAGUUUUCAAUUAACAUUUAAAAGCUUUUCUAGAAGAGCUAGCUAUGUUAAUAUGUGUUAGAAAUUGUGUGACCCGAAUCUCGUCACUUGUUGAAAAAAUUCAUGUGUUCUUAUUUUUCUUGUUUUUAUCGACGUCUACUAUAUCAAUAUGAAAAUAAGACAACCCCUACCCCAAUGUUUUCAGAAUUGGAUUGGUGAUCGAACUAAUCAGAUCGCCAAAUUUUAAUUCGAUUGGUCCAAAAUUAAAGAAAUUUGAAAAAUAGGUAAAAUUUUGACAAAAUUAAAAACAAAAUUUUAUAAACACAAAUAAAUAACAAUAAUCACACUUCGAUUUAUGUUAGUUUUUCUCCUCUCUUUUUUUUUCUUAAUAAUAAUUAUUAUUUUAAGUAUUAGGGUGGGUUGGGUUGAUAUACUUAAGUAUUUGGAUUUUGCCGGUUGAUAUUUUUUUCUCGAUUUGGACCAUUAAUUUGGACUAAAAACAUUAAAAAAUAGUUCAACCGGCUUACGGUUCAAAUUCCAUUUUAAGUGCUUCACUCUAAAAUCUAUCUAACUCUUUUAUCUAAUUUGGUAUAUUGAUUGUUUUCCAGUUUGGCCUGUCGAAUUGACCAGAGUUUAAGAUUAGACCCCAAAAAACUUAAUGGUGGGGCAUGUAACUCGGCGGAUCCGGCCAACCGGCCGUUCAAUAUCAAUCUAAGCUGUUCACAGAUAUAUUAGAUAAGCAAUAUUGAAUGAAACUGCCUUUGUGAACUUCAGUCCAAACCCUAUUUGACUCAAACUUUUAGGCACACCUCAUUGGUCUUCGAUCCUUUUCUACACCACCUUCAUACCAUAUCAAUUUCAUGAGAUGGAAAAUUAUCCAUCCAUAUAUAAAAUUAAUCAAAUUUUCAUGUGAUGAUGAUGGAUCAUGACAAACAAUACAUAUACGAUCAAUUCAAUUGUAAAAUUUCAAUAUAGGUGAUCCCUUUUUCUUGUUAGGUUGGAGAAUGAAAACAAAAACAAAGAGAAAGUUAUGAAGUGGAAGCAUUAAGAUUAGGUUCCCAAAGGGCAAAAUUAGAGCACAGUUGGGGGGUAUGUAGGGCCUAAAGACGGCUUGCCAUUAGCUGUAUCGAAAGCUAAACUUAUGAUGGCACUUUCUAUUUCAAUGCAGCGGUCUACAUCAACCUUAAUCUCUCCCACCUAUAUAUAUACAUGCAUACACAUAUACACAUAUUCACCACAAUUUAAUCUUCUAAGUUCAAAACAUUGAUGACAAUGGCAACUCUAAGCAGUGCUUUUCUUUUCAUCUUCUCUUGUUUCCUUGCAUGUUCGAUCUCGGUUUCGGGACGACCCACCACUUUCCUCGAAGAUUUUAGAAUCACUUGGUCCGAUUCCCAUAUCAAGCAAAUCGAUGGAGGGAGGGCCAUUCAACUUAUUCUAGACCAAAAUUCAGGUUUAACUUUUUAAAAAUAAUAAUCAAUGAUUAAAUGUGUUAACCCUUCGAUAAUGUGUUGUUAAUUCAUUUUGUUUUAUAGGCUGUGGAUUUGCUUCCAAAAGACAGUAUUUGUUUGGACGUGUCAGCAUGAAGAUCAAGCUUAUCCCCGGUGACUCGGCCGGAACCGUCACCGCCUUUUACGUACGUAAAGCUACCUACCGACAUAACUUUUAGCCUUUAAUCGGUUUUUCAUUGUAGUCUGGUAUUGCAGAUGAAUUCUGAUACGGACACUGUAAGAGACGAGCUAGAUUUCGAGUUCUUGGGAAACCGAACUGGGCAACCAUACACGGUCCAAACCAACAUAUAUGCUCAUGGUAAAGGUGAUAGAGAACAAAGGGUUAACCUCUGGUUUGAUCCAGCUGCUGAUUUCCAUACAUACACAAUUAUGUGGAACCAUCAUCAUAUUGUGUAAGUCCAGUAUCUAGCUAUAAAUGUGACAUUAAUAAGCAUAUAUGACAUUAAAAUUUGACCAUUUGUGUGGUUUUUCUUAACAGGUUUUAUGUAGAUGAAGUGCCAAUAAGAGUAUACAAGAACAAUGAAGCAAAAAACAUCCCAUACCCAAAAUUUCAACCUAUGGGGGUAUAUUCGACUCUAUGGGAAGCUGAUGAUUGGGCAACAAGGGGAGGACUUGAGAAAAUUGAUUGGAGCAAAGCACCAUUUUUGGCUUAUUACAAGGAUUUUGACAUUGAAGGGUGUCCAGUUCCAGGGCCAGCAAAUUGUGCUAGUAACCCUAGGAACUGGUGGGAAGGUACUGCUUAUCAAGCUCUUAAUGCCAUGGAAGCUAGGAGAUACAGGUGGGUUCGGAUGAACCACAUGAUCUACGAUUACUGCACCGACAAGUCUCGGUACCCGGUCACCCCACCGGAGUGCAUGGCAGGUAUAUGAAGUACUAUCAAGAGUUCCCAUUAUUCCAUAUCCAACUGAACUGUCCAGAAUAUUUGAUAUACCAAUAUGUUACUUGUCAUAUAUACUUUGAUGUAUAUGCCUCCCUUUGUACCAUAAUAGCUAUAUGUAUAUGCUAUAAGAGGGCCAUGCAAAAAUUGGGGUUAUAAAGGGAAAUAAAUUGUGAUCGGGUGUGCAAAUAUUUGAUUUUAAAACUUGUAUUUAUUAUUAUUAUUGUAUUAUCCAAUUCAGAGUUUGCAGGCCUAAGACAAAACUACUUGCUGC